GAACAACAAACCCGGGCAGGUGGAGCUCGUCAGCCGUGGUAGGCAAUCUGCCUAGGAGAGCAAACUCCGAACAACAAACCCGGGCAGGUGGAGCUCGUCAGCCGUGGUAGGCAAUCUGCCUAGGAGAGCAAACUCCGAACAACAAACCCGGGCAGGUGGAGCUCGUCAGCCGUGGUAGGCAAUCUGCCUAGGAGAGCAAACUCCGAACAAUAAACCCGGGCAGGUGGAGGUCGUCAGCCGUGGUAGGCAAUUCACCUAGGAGAGCAAACUCCGAACAAUAAACCCGGGCAGGUGGAGGUCGUCAGCCGUGGUAGGCAAUUCACCUAGGAGAGCAAACUCCGAACAAUAAACCCGGGCAGGUGGAGGUCGUCAGCCGUGGUAGGCAAUCUGCCUAGGAGAGCAAACUCUAAAUAAACCCGGGCUUGUGGUGCUCGUUAUACUGUCGUAGACAAUCCACGCGAUGGGAACACCAAAGAAAAGGAAAAUAAAAAAGAACACCAGAAAAAUGGAAAAUACAGAAACGAAACAUCAAGAAAAGAAACAAAAAGAUCAUCCACCUUUAGGCCCUAACAUCGCCAAAAUUAUGGGUGGGUCUCUUCUGGGGAGAAAGCGGCUCACCCAGACCAAAGAACAUCAACAAGGGAUGAUAUAGAAAAGAACACCAAAAAAAUAUGGAAAAAGAACAGAAAAAACAUCGAAAAAGAAAAGCAACAGAAAUAAAUGAGCAACAUCGAGAAAAGAGAAAUACAAAGAAACAUCAUCCACCUUUCGGCCCCAAACAACAUCACCAAAA